UACGUAGGGUGCGAGCGUUGUCCGGAAUUAUUGGGCGUAAAGAGCUCGUAGGCGGUUUGUUGCGUCUAUCGUGAAAACCUGCAGCUUAACUGUGGGCUUGCGGUGGAUACGGGCAGACUUGAGUUCGGUAGGGGAGACUGGAAUUCCUGGUGUAGCGGUGAAAUGCGCAGAUAUCAGGAGGAACACCGGUGGCGAAGGCGGGUCUCUGGGCCGAUACUGACGCUGAUGUGCGAAAGCGUGGGGAGCAAACAGG
rnacentral:rRNA from 1 species